rnacentral:rRNA from 1 species
CCUACGGGAGGCAGCAGUGGGGAAUAUUGCACAAUGGGGGAAACCCUGAUGCAGCGACGCCGCGUGAGUGAAGAAGUAUCUCGGUACGUAAAGCUCUAUCUGCCGGGAAGAAAAUGACGGUACCUGACUAAGAAGCCGCGUCUAACUACGUGCCACCAGCCGCGGUAAUACGUAGGGGGCAAGCGUUAUCCGGAUUUACUGGGUGUAAAGGGAGCGUAGACGGCAGCACAAGUCUGGAGGGAAAUCCCGGGGCUUAACCCCGGAACUGCUUUGGAAACUGUGCGGCUGGAGUGCAGGAGGGGGAUGCGGAAUGCCUGGUGUAGCGGUGAAAUGCGUAGAUAUUAGGAGGAACACCGGUGGCGAAGGCGGCUUACUGGACUGUAACUGACGUUGAGGCUCGAAAGCGUGGGGAGCAAACAGGAUUAGAUACCCGAGUAGUC